rnacentral:rRNA from 1 species
GUCCACGCCGUAAACUAUGGGUGCUAGCCGUCGGUCGGCUUGCCGAUCGGUGGCGCAGCAAACGCAUUAAGCACCCCGCCUGGGGAGUACGGUCGCAAGAUUAAAACUCAAAGGAAUUGACGGGGGCCCGCACAAGCGGUGGAGCAUGUGGUUUAAUUCGAGGCAACGCGAAGAACCUUACCAGCCCUUGACUUCCCGGUCGGGGCUCCGGAGACGGAGCUCUUCAAUUGGCCGGUGACAGGUGCUGCAUGGCUGUCGU